rnacentral:lncRNA from 1 species
UCUCCUUUUUCAUUUUUUUUCUUUUUUUUCUUUUUUUUCUUUUUUUUCUUUUUUUUAUUGUUUUAUUUCUAAAUCUGAACUCAUAGGAUUAGGCAUGUCCUUGUUAUCCCUUCUGAUCAAGACUGACGCUUUUCCAGAUAAGGCCUUCCGCAUAAGGUUCUUCCCAUCUUGGCAUGAAGUUCCUUUUGUAUGGGAAGGAUCUUCUUCGAUACCAGGUCCUCUCAUAAAAUCCUCUAAGACG